AGCAGAUUCCACCACCUAAUGCUGGCUAGAUAGACGGAAACGACCUUUGUGAACUACAACUACCAGAAGGAAGUCACAGCUCUCAAAGCACUCUGGGAUUUGAAAUGUUUAGGAUAUGGUGAAGCUCAGAAAGUCCCAAAACUCCAUUUCCCAUCAUUCACCAUUUUUCCCCCCAAGGCUACACAUCUGCAAGACAUUUAUUUCCUAUACACCACCCUAAGAACAAGUUUCUCCAGCUCUGCCAUCUGAGGAGGGGAGCCCAUAUAGCGGCCCUCUCCCCUGAGACGCCAUGAGAAUACCAUCUCCAAAAAUAGAGGUCUCCUCCUCUCCUUCCAACUCUUCCGCUCUUCCAGGUAUCUGUCGCUUCCAUUUUGCGUUACUGCAUGGAGGACACACUCACAGCUCAUCCACACACUCCUGCACAGAAAUGAUCUGCACCCUGCUGAGAGACGCUCCUGAUGGUUAUUGUCAGGUAUUGCAGGGAGAUUGCAUAGCAGACUUGUAAAGUCAACCCAAGGUUAACGUAUGUGUGUGUUCAUUGAUUAGAUAUGCCUAUUAUUAGCAACAUUCCUAUGCAAGUUAAAUCAAUGGUUUAAAGGGAUGGUAGAUCGUGGCUGUAUCAUGCAUGUCUGGAGCUGAAGUCAAACUUGACUGUGAUGAGUGUGUGUGUUUGUGAUGUGUGAAGCAGGGUGUUGGAGCUAAAAAAAGAGGUGUGCUGCUGCUGACUGUUUUCAGCUUUAAUUAGCAGGGUUCUGUUUAUGUCCGGAUGGAUCACAGCUCACCUUUCCUCUCUGAGGAUCAAAGGGCAAAUAUGAACAUGUUCGACAAAACCCUUCGAGCCAAAUCAAUGCAUGACGAAACAGCAUCUUGAGCGAGUGAGGUCACUGGAUACAGAACAACACAUGAGCAUGUGUAUUCUGCUGGCUGCUGGCUAUUCCUGUGCUUUAGUUCAUGUUUAGAUAAAAUCUAGUACCCCUUCUGUGAGGAUACAUGUUUCACAUGUCUGAUUUAUCAAAUUACUUUUCCAACAGAAUUUUUGGUCACAUCUAUCCCAGGAGAAGUGUCAUCCUUACAGAAGUGAGGAAAUAUAAUAUUUUCUAGACCUUUCACGCAGAGAGCCCAUCUUUAUAUAUUCAGUCUAAUAAAUGAAAAUCCCAAAAGUCCAAAUUCUAUAUUCCUUGUGAGAGAAUGAAUCACCCCUGGAUCGCAUGUGUAUAAUUGAAUUUCUUGGUGUAUGUGAUGAUGAAGUGAUCUAUUCGUCAACUCUCCCACAGCUAGCAUGUGAACAUACAAGCCUAAAAGAUUUGUUAGGCCUUGUUACCUGGUGGACAGUGUGGAGGUUGGUGUUUCCAUCCUGUGCUACCUUUUGGUUACACAUGCUGGUGAUUUAUGUGGUCUGAUUGUCAGCAGUCUUGGAUUUUCUGCAGGGAGUCAACAUCUGUAAAAGACCGAAGCAAGAGUAUAUAUCUAUCUACCCAUCUGUUAUGUAGAGCAUUUCAGAAACACAAAUAACAGCAAGAUGUCUGAAAUAAAAAUUACUGAUGCCCACAAAGCAUGAAUAAAGUGCCACAGAAAUAACUACAUCAUUGAACAACGGCCCUUUCUGAGAGCUAAAGGUGGCCAUAGCAUCUGCCAUCAAGCACUUAACCAUAACACUAAAUGUAUUAAUGUAAUUAUAUCCAGUCAGUGUGAUAAUAAGUAAAUCCUCUCAUUAAUUGGGUCUUAGGAUUGUGUAGCUCUUGCUGUCACAGCCAAUUGACCCCAAGAAUGAGGUGGAGUACAUGUGCCUUCAUUUAUGCACAACUAUAAUUAACACUAGAACCAGAAAGGGACGACAGAAACUUAAGGUAGUACAAUUUACAAUUUAAAACAUUGUGAUAUCUUUUAUAUUUCAUCUUAUAUGCCCAUGUUAUUCAUGUCUAUAACAUUAUGCUAAACUUACCAACGUGUAUUGUAUAUGCUGGUACACCAGCAUAUCCCAGUACAAGACACAGUGAUUGUAUUGAAUUGUUGUCUCUUCUUUUCUUUUCUCAGUAGGUUUGGUCACUUUUACACUUGGUCUACUGCUAUUUGGUGUGACUUAUCAGACAUUUAUCUGUUACUUUUAGCCUAACAUUUAGACUUUUCUGCUCACUUGCUAACUAGUUUUCAUGCACUCUCAGUUGCUUUGUCUGGUGUAAAACAGCUGAUUCAGGUCAAUGCAAAACUGAGACAUGUCUUGUGCAGUCAGCCAUAAAACAUGCAAUAGGUGAUUUUUUGGAUACAUGGGGGCAGACUUGGAAACAAGCGCACUGACGCUGAUUUUAUCCAACAAUAUAUGGUCUUCUACUUAUGGUUUAUGAGGUAUAUAUGCAGUUUUGUUUGGCGUCUCAUACAGACGCUGAAGGAGCGGUGAGCUUUUAGAGCUUUUUGCUGAAAACUGCUGCCUGCUGCGGCCUAGAAUGCAGUGAGUGAGAAUCAAAAUACUAAAGUUUCAUUCUCUUUUGUUUUUCUCUGUGAGUGACUCCUUUUGCUUACAAGUAGUUAUGGGUCCAGUCCUAAUAUAAACCUACUGAUUAUAGCCAUUUUAAUAUCAACAUCACACCAAUUUGUAAUUCAGUCCAUUUUUCUCCUAAACACAAACAUGCAGCUAUAUAAUUAUUUUAAAAUAAAGUCAGUUUUCCUAUUUUUUUCAAUUUAGCUGAGCCCUCCACAAUCUCUCCAGGUACCCCCCGGUAUUUGCAGCAGUGUCUCGGGGAUAUAAAUUUGAAAAUGAAAUGAAAUGAAACGUUUCCAAAUUUAACAGCUGGUCGUGUUGCUUUCUCUGGAGAAAUUGUGCUUUUUAAAAUUGAUUUGAAGGGUAAUUUACUUGCCACGCCCAUCUAAAGUGACGGAUGUAAAUCGCAAUGGUUUAGUGUCUUGCUCAAAGACACGUCGACAGGACUCUGUGUUAUUGAUGAACAGAGUAGCUGCGGUGGAGAUGUAAUCUGACACUGUCUGCUGACGACAAGACAUCUUAUCCUUUUACUCCUCACAUGCUAAGAAAUUAUGUGAACAUUAUAUUUCCUCGUUCAGAUAUUAAACACUAUUGAAUAUAUUGAUCACUUCAUCCUCCAGAGAGAGAGAGUUAUUACUCAAUUGUGAUUACAGUUAUUGAUGAGUAACAGUAAUGUACUCUCUGUAGUCUCCAGCAGGCUCCUGAACUUAGUGGACUCUCUAUUUGUCUGCCACACUUUCUUUCCUUGUUCUGAUCCUUUAAUCUCUGCUAAACCCACUCUGACUUCAUAGCCCUGAGUCAUACUGUAUCACAUCAGACUCCUCUCCUGUCCUUCACUUCCUCACAAUAUAUUUUUGUGUUUUCACAGUGUCUCACAAUGUGUGUGAUCUUCCUGUCACUGUUAAACAAACAGCAGGGGGUGCUGCUCUGUCAAUUCAUUGCUGAUGCUGCUUGCUGAUUCCAUAGGAGCCAAUCUGAUGCCUACCCUUGCUCUGUUUGUUUAGGGCUGUGUGUGUGUGUGUGUGUGUGUGUGUGUGUGUGUGUGUGUGUGUGUGUGUGUGUGUGUGUGUGCGUAUGUGUGUUACUUUCCUAAUGUAACUCAUGUGUAGAAAACAACAGAACCAGACAACACUCAAAACAGCAAAACAGCAAAGGGACAAAUGUUUUUGCAAAAGUUGCAGUUGACUGGGGCAUUUGUCAAGUCUGACUGACUGUCGGUAGUUUAAUCUAUGAUAAUGCAUCACAUAUCUUGAUCACAUGUUUUUUAUGUAAAACCAGAACUUGUGAUGGUUUGGGGUUUUGGGAUUUCCUGUUUUAUUUUGAAUGUAUUGGUGCGUUUCAUUUGACAUGGGAAGUCGAAAUUUCCGAGUUCCAAGUCACAAAUUUCAACUGGAACACCCCCUUAAGUGGGAUUUCCGUCUCGGAAAGCCGUGAAAACUUCACCAACCCCAACCUUAAAAUCCAGUAGUGAAAGAUGUUAAUGUUAGUGUAAUAUACUGUUUAUCACUCUUCUGUCUUAUUUGUGUCUCUUCAAAUUAGUCGUACACACAGUCCUGUCCAAUUUAUAUCUGUAGACAUGUUGCUCCGGUGUUUGUAUGUGUUAAAUACUGCGUAAUGCAUCAUUAUCAACUGGUAUUGCUAACAAUGGCCAGAGGCAUCAGUCUUGGUUUUCCAACUUAAACAUGUUGUUGUACUAGAAUGCUGUAUACUCAGGUGUGACGGAACUUGCUACUGCGACCUCCAACUUCCGAGGUAAAUGGAAAGCACCAGAUCAUUCCUGUUGUGUGCUGUGUAGCUUUUCUUCCUGUUGUUGUGAUCCUUUCUUCCUGUUGUUGUGAUCAGGUUGCCCUGCCCUACCCCACUGGGUCUCGUCAAUCACCUUUCCUAUUUAAGUGAGUGUCUUCCCAUUAUCUAUUGACAAUCUUCUUCAUACAAUGUUGAGUGUUCUUCCCUGUUUUCCUAUGCAUGCCACCCAUGUUUGGAUUUAUGUUUGGAUUUCCUUGACCUUGGAUUACAGCCUCUAACUAUCUUAGACUUUCCAUGUUGCCUGUUUCCCCAGUGAAGUGUUUUGCGUUUGUCUUGUGCUCGUGUGUCUGUGCUCAGCAUUGUGACAGAAUGAUCUGACCAAAAAUAUGGACCCAGCAGACAUUAAAUUGUUACUUUCAAGUGACUACAUGCUGCCAUUAGGAACUCCACAGACUGUUUGUGUAUUCUCUAAACUUACCAUUGAUGGUAGAGUAAUUACCAACUAUAAAUAAACUUAAGAUGGACUUGCAGUUUAGCCCUGUCUGCACCUCAGCCUGCUAGCUUCCAGCCAACUUCCCAGCUAGCUAGCACCCGUCCUUGCAGCCAGCCUCGAGAAGGUUUCCACCAUCGCCUUUCCGUCCUGUCUCCUGGUAAUCCUCCGGACCAGCUCAGCCCUUUGGUAUGACCUCCUUGUUGCCCUCAAGACCUGCUCAUCCCUUCAGGAACAGCCUCCAGGCCACCCGCCUGGGGGCACCAGCUCUACCCAGCACUUCAGACACUUGCCCUUGAGUCAGAGGUUUUGUGGCACAACAUAUAGAAAUGAUAUGUUGAUCGGGAAGGAAAUUUCAUUGCAUCCAGCUCACACUGCAGAAACAAAAUGAAGACACACGCAACAUCAUUGUGGCCACAUCCACAAAAUACCAUCUGUGACCAGAGGCUGUGACUAUUAAAAUGGCAUGAUAUCUUCAACCGCCUUUUUUCCCUGACGUAUGCUAGAAUCCACAACAACAUGAUGCCUAUUUGUGAUGUAACAAAUACACAUCAUCUGACUGAAAGGCCUGCAAUCUGCUGAUUUAGUUUUAAAUAAAUGGAUGGGUUUCUUUCCCCCUGUUUAGUGCGAUCUGGCUUGUUUUUAUGAGUCUGUAUGACGAAAGCACAGCCGAUAACAAUACCACAGGGUUGGUGUGGAGUAACAAUAUGCCUCAUCCUCC